CAGGCUUGCAGACUCAGGCUGCCCACAUGCCAGAGAUCAAAUAUAGGGAUGUAGAAGGCUGACUGGUUCUCAGAUAGCGGGCAGAAGCGUGGGCAGGAGCUCACGUCCAGGCCCAGCCGAGGGGGCAGCUAUCCCUAUCAGCAGCACGAAGCCACAGGAGAGCCUGGGAGUGCAACUCCAGCAGCCAAAUUUGUAACGUCAAACCCUUUCAUGUGGCCUCACCGUUACCAGGCCUGCCCCAGCUUUUCUUGUCAUAGCCACAGAGCUGCUUUACUUGUUUCUUUUCGUUGACCAGGUGUCUAUUUCUCUGUUGUUUUGCUUUUGUUUGUCUUUGUGUGGUACCACAACUGUUUUAUGCAGAUAGCAGUAACAAGCUUUUGUUCCAGAUGGGGUAAGAGGUUUGCAACACUUGCAAGGUGAUGUUGUGAGCAGCAGGGCUGCAAGGAUGGCACUGACACCAGGCAGAGGUGUGGGGUACAGUGCAGAGGAGCACAGGCACAGGAAGACAAGAGAUGGGCACAGGCUGGCACUGGAAGUCCCACAGCUAUAAACAGCUUCAUCGUGCAUGCCUGGGCUGGACAAGAAUGGCUUUAGGUAUAACAAAGAGAACAAAGAAAUAGAAAAUGGCACCAUGUAUCAUAAAUUCAGGCGUCGCCUGGAUUUGCAAACCAACCAACAAAGACAAAGGUGUACGAGGAUGCUAGCAACAAACAUGUCAGCUUGAACCCAGCGCCCUUAGGACCCAGAUGAGCAGUGGAAGGGAGAAUGUGAUGCCAGAAAUAGGGGUAGAAACUAAGAAGUGUGUGUGUUACAAUUUUAAUUGCAUUAUUACUCCCUUUAAGUAUCAUACUUGUGUCAUUAUUUGCUUUUCUGUAAUACAUAGACUAAUCUAGAUCUAAACUGCGAGGAGAUUAAUUAUACUUAAUAUAAACCCAUGCAUUUGCUUAUUGACAAAUAUAUACAAUAUGCUGCUUUUCUGCCAUGAGUGAAGUUUUGAACAUAACAAAACUCAACACAGUCUUUCUUUAUUUGAGUAGUUUUUGGAAGCCCCAAGAAGAGAGGCAUUACACUGAGCGGAGGCAUUGCAGAGUCAGCUGGGUGCCUUGUCAAGGUACUGGAGAGAAAGCAGCUCAGCAAAUGCAUGGCAGAAGAACCUGCAUCAUCCUGAUUCAUCCAACUGAUCUUCUGAAGUAA
rnacentral:lncRNA from 1 species